CGCCUGGCCGGCUCCCCCUCACCAGGGCCGGGAGGAGGGGUCUGUGCGCGCGGCGGGGCGGCCCCGCGCCUCACCUGGCCCGGGGAUCGAGACCGGUAUCGAUCAGGGAGGGGGGCGCGGGCUGGGCCCGAGUCUCUUUCUUUAAACUGUUGAAACUGUUUGAUGUUUUUCUCUAAUGGUAUCUUCAGCCUGCAGCUUUUCGCUAGUGAUUUAAUUCAUAUUACACCAACGGUAUAAACAACAAUUCAAGUGGGAGCAAGAUCAGGACUUUUGUUAACCACAUGGUACGUUUCCUCUC